GAUAGUGGCGAACGGGUGAGUAACACGUGGGCAAUCUGCCCUGCACUCUGGGACAAGCCCUGGAAACGGGGUCUAAUACCGGAUACUGAUCCUCGCGGGCAUCUGCGAGGUUCGAAAGCUCCGGCGGUGCAGGAUGAGCCCGCGGCCUAUCAGCUUGUUGGUGAGGUAAUGGCUCACCAAGGCGACGACGGGUAGCCGGCCUGAGAGGGCGACCGGCCACACUGGGACUGAGACACGGCCCAGACUCCUACGGGAGGCAGCAGUGGGGAAUAUUGCACAAUGGGCGAAAGCCUGAUGCAGCGACGCCGCGUGAGGGAUGACGGCCUUCGGGUUGUAAACCUCUUUCAGCAGGGAAGAAGCGAAAGUGACGGUACCUGCAGAAGAAGCGCCGGCUAACUACGUGCCAGCAGCCGCGGUAAUACGUAGGGCGCAAGCGUUGUCCGGAAUUAUUGGGCGUAAAGAGCUCGUAGGCGGCUUGUCACGUCGGUUGUGAAAGCCCGGGGCUUAACCCCGGGUCUGCAGUCGAUACGGGCAGGCUAGAGUUCGGUAGGGGAGAUCGGAAUUCCUGGUGUAGCGGUGAAAUGCGCAGAUAUCAGGAGGAACACCGGUGGCGAAGGCGGAUCUCUGGGCCGAUACUGACGCUGAGGAGCGAAAGCGUGGGGAGCGAACAGGAUUAGAUACCCUGGUAGUCCACGCCGUAAACGGUGGGCACUAGGUGUGGGCAACAUUCCACGUUGUCCGUGCCGCAGCUAACGCAUUAAGUGCCCCGCCUGGGGAGUACGGCCGCAAGGCUAAAACUCAAAAGGAAUUGACGGGGGCC
rnacentral:rRNA from 1 species